rnacentral:lncRNA from 1 species
UUAGUAGUUAGUUCUAGUAGUACCAGUCAGUUCUGGAGUGUUAGCCCUACCAGGAGCCCUCCUAUCAGCCUCGGUUGGCAUUGUGUUGGCAACAAGCCCUAAUUUAGGGAAUUAAAAAGCACUAGACAGGCCCUUUGUGCCACUGCGCGCCCGCUUUAAUCUUCCCAUGCCUCAGCGGGCACCCACAGCACGCGCACACACACACACACACACAAACACACACACACAGCGUCAGAAGUGGGCACGGUGCCCAUAUGACCCUGGGCAAUAUGGAAAUGUCCACCAAAACCACUAACCAAGCGCCCAGGCUGCCUCUGGUAGAGUCAGUACACAGUGGGAACACACUCUAAUACCAUCCCCCCACUGCACUGAAGCACAGAGAUACACACCACACCACACACACAACACGCAGAUGCUUGCACAUGCAAUUAAAUGUAUGCAUAGUUGUAUUCAUAGACAGAGCGAGAGAGACAGACACACACACACACACACAUUAUUUCACUGUCUUUCUCUAUCAAACACACACACACUUGUCAGAAGUUUGUGUUUCUCUUUGAAAUGUGGGUAAGUGUAACUGCAGUGUCGACGACAAGGCCAAUUUCUCAUGAGGUCAUCCAUCACCUCUAAUGAAACUGGCAGAGCCUAACUGUCUCGCUGUGUGUGUGUGUGUGUGUGUGUGUGUGUGUGUGUGUGUGUGUGUGUGUGUGUGUGUGUGUGUGUGUGUGUGUGUGUGUGUGUGUGUGUGUGUGUGUGUGUGUGUGUGUGUGUGUGUGUGUGUGUCUCUCUCUCUCUCCCUGGGCAGAUCCACUGGCGCCUCGCUAACCCAGGGAGGAGAAAUGGACUGAUUUAAUUACAGAUGAAACACACACACACAGGCUGGCUAUCACACAGACAGACAGAUUUCUUUUCACACAGACUCACACUCAAAGAGCACAGAUUUUAAACAAAGUUCAUAAACACACUCCUUUUUUCAAGCCAGUCUUGUUAGCAUGUUAGGAAACUACAAUGGGGAGCUGAGUGGGUGCUGCCUGGUGUGAUGUUGACGUGUUAAAGCUAAGCUACAAAGCCAAAUAUAACUUAAAGAGGCAAACAGCAGUUGCUACAUCUAUUUCUGGACUUAAUUAUACGUACCGAUAGAUUUUUGAAGAAUACAACGUAUAAAUGCGCUUCAUGAGCUUAGUUCAACUGUCGUACCACAUCAGAACCAAAAAUAUAAGCGUGUUUUACUUCAAUGUUUGCAAACAAUGUAAAUUGUAAACAAACACUAUAUAGCCUCAAAACAUGGUUAAAACUAUAAUGUUGAUAUCAUGGAGGGUCAGUCCUUGCAUCCAUAGCUUUAUCUGUUCAUUUGAUAGUGGUUGCAUUUCUCCAGUACCAUCCCUCAGCUUUUUACAGAAUCAGGAGCAUGCUUUGUUAUUGUUUCUACUGCUGAUUGCUGCUUUAAGUAGCUUCAUAACACUACAGCAUGAGAGUUACAGUUGAGGAUAAAUUGAUCAGCAUUUGUUAAAUCUGUAGUUAACAGUCCUCUUUGAUGGUGAUGGAGGUGAAUAUCUCUUUCAUUCUUGUUACGAAACCAAUAACUAGCCUGCUAAUAUUGUUGCACUCACUAAGUCCAGGGGUCUCAGGCCUAGUUAACUGGUCUGUAACCGGAUUGAAGCUUGUGCAUCUAUGUGAGAAAUCAGCGUAUGUUCCUAGGUGUUGAAGGUUCAAUAUGGACAGAGUGUGUCCUGGAUAGUGUGUUUGUCUAUGUCCUAGCACUAACCUUCCCCCCAUAUCAUAACAUUCUAAAGAAGGGCAAACCAGCUGAUGAUUGGCUCUUUCAUUCAGGCCAAUUUUUAUCUAGAAUUUAGAUGUACGGCUGUUGACCAAAACCUUGGCCACUAGGCUAGAAGCGGUACUCCCUUCACUCAUCAAUAUCGACCAGACGGGGCUUGUCAAGGGCAGAUACUCGUACCAUAAUAUAAGGAAACUUCUAAACAUUAUUCAACAUGCAAAUCUAUAUAGCCCAGAGGCCUUAGUGAUCUCACUUGAUGCAGAGAAGGCCUUUAACAGGGUCGAGUGGACCUAUCUGAUUAUGAUACUAGCAGAUAAGUUCAUCAAAUGGAUAGGGGUAUUUGACACCUGUCCUCCUGCUGCUGUUCUCACCAAAGGGAUCAGAUUUCACACUAGGACGUGGAACCAGGUAGGGUUGUCCAAUGACCGCUCUGUUAUUAGCUGUGGCAAUAAGGCUGGCGGAUGCUAUAGGUGGGAUCCGAUUGGGGACCAAAGGCAAUAACAUUUCUCCAUAUGCGGAUGAUGUUUCGCUGUAUUUGGGCUCGUGUAGAAAUUCUAUUCCAAAACUUGUGGACCUUAUUACCUCUUUAGGAGCUUCCUCUAGGUAUAAAGUGAAUUUCUCCAAGUCUGAGGCUAUGGCACGUGGUGACUCCCAGGCUGUUAAUUCAACAAUCUCCCAGCCUUUCCAAUGGCCUCCCUCUGCUUUUACUUACUUGACUAUUAAAAUCUGUCCUGUGCUAAAAGACAUGUAUAGAUUAACCCACUCCUUCUCUCUAUUCAAAAUGAUCUUGAUAGGUGGUGUUGCCUGCCUCUGUCAAGUUUAGGCCGCAUUCACCUUAUCAAAAUGAAUAUUCUCCCUCGCCUGCUAUACCGUUUUCAAAUGGUCCCACUUUUACUUCCCAGAAAAACCUUUACCCAGUUAGACCGUGCUAUAAUAUGUUUCAUCUGGCCAAGGAAAACACCUAGGCUGAGGUAUAGCUAUCUCACUCUACCUACCAGGUUAGCUGGUCUAGCAGUCCCUUCUCAUAAAUGUUAUCAACUGGCAUCUCAACUGAGCUUUAUUGAGAGUAUUGAAAACCCAAGAGCCUCUUGGCUUAAUUGUGAAUCAGCUACUAUUGGGACAAUCCCACUCCGUAAACUUUUAUACAUAUCCCAGACAAAGAUAGGCAAAUAGACUAAAGACAUUUCAUUAUAUGCUGAAGAACAUCUCUCAAUCUGGGGACAGGUCCGGAAGUUAGAAGGGCACAAUGUUUGUUUCUCAUUACUGACCCCUUUGAAUGAAACCUAAUGUGUCUCGUCUUUACAGUAAGUCUCAGGGUGCAGGGGGUUCCCUUAUUCAUUGUUUCUGGGAUCGUUGUUACAUAGAAACAUUGUGUUCGGAGGUUCUAUAGGAGAUAGAUAACGUUUUUGAGCGCUCUCUCCAGCUGGGUACAACGUUUUGUAGACUGGAAACUAGAGAGGAACUGCCUCUUAGAUUUCCUUAGUGCACAUUUUACACAUUUUAUUACAAAAAUGUAUUCUUCUGCUGUGGAUAUCUGAUAAGGCUUCCUCAGCAGCAUUGGAAAAUAAGCCUUAUCAAUUUCUUAAGAUGUGGGACCCCUUCUUGAACCAACACCGUCAAAACAAAGCCCAAGUGUUAAUUUCAGGACUGUCAGGCUUGGCCUGGCGCGAUUCAGCUACUUGAGGACAAAUCUACUUUAUGUAGGCGGUUUGUACUCAUACCUGACCUCUGUGAGGUAGCCUAGCUACCCUCCCUGCUGCUCUAGGCAGGUUCACAGUGUUAGCACACUAACUAGCCCAGCUGCCCUCCCUGCUGCUCUAGGCAGGUUCACAGUGUUAGCACACUAACUAGCCUAGCUGCCCCUCCCUGCUGCUCUAGGCAGGUUCACAGUGUUAGCACACUAACUAGCCUAGCUGCCCCUCCCUGCUGCUCUAGGCAGGUGCACAGUGUUAGCACACUAACUAGCCUAGCUGCCCCUCCCUGCUUCUCUAAGCAGGUUCACAGUGUUAGCACACUAACUAGCCUAGCUGCCCCUCCCUGCUGCUCUAGGCAGGUUCACAGUGUUAGCAUGUCUACUAGCCUAGCUGCCCUCCCUGCUUCUCUAAGCAGGUUCACAGUGUUAGCACACUAACUAGCCUAGCUGCCCCCAUAUGCUUCUCUAAGCAGGUUCACAGUGUUAGCACGCCUACUAGCCUAGCUGCCCCUCCCUGCUGCUCUAGGCAGGUUCACAGUGUUAGCACGCCUACUAGCCUAGCUGCCCCUCCCUGCUGCUCUAGGCAGGUUCAGUGUUAGCACACUAACUAGCCUAGCUGCCCCUCCCUGCUGCUCUAGGCAGGUUCACAGUGUUAGCACGCCUACUAGCCUAGCUGCCCCUCCCUGCUGCUCUAGGCAGGUUCACAGUGUUAGCACACUAACUAGCCUAGCUGCCCCUCCCUGCUGCUCUAGGCAGGUUCACAGUGUUAGCACGCCUACUAGCCUAGCUGCCCCUCCCUGCUGCUCUAGGCAGGUUCACAGUGUCCUUUCCUUAAAACAAAGACACACUUUGGCCCAGAAACCGGAUACACUCCCACUUUUCCUCCUUCUCUCUCUGCCUUUCUCCUUCUUUCAAUCUCCACCUCACACUUUCUUUCUCCCCUUCUCCCUCCUCACCCCGUCACUCUUUCCCCAUUUCUUUCUCUGCUUCUCUUUCUCCCUUCUCCUUCUCUGAACCCUCUCUUUCCUUCCCCCCUCUCCUUUUCCUUCUCUUUCUCAUUCUCUCCAUUUUUCUCUCCCCACUGGUUUCACUUAAUAAGCUUCAAAGGGUUUCUGGGCAACUUGGUUUCUUAAAAAAAGUAACCAUGGCAUUUAUUUGGCACACAACAUCUUCCCUCUUUCUGAGGAUAUGGGGGUUGCCAUGACAUCGGUGGGCACCUUAUAAAGCACACCAUUGUUGCUGUUUGUGUGUAUGUGUGUGUGUGUGUGUGUGUGUGUGUGUGUGUGUGUGUGUGUGUGUGUGUGUGUGUGUGUGUCAGGCAUCUUGUGCCAGCUUGGUCUAAACGCUCAGGCUCCUCAUAUGAAACGCAGAACGUUGCCUAUGCCAGGGAGGAGAGAAUACAAUUAUACCGGCCAACUCAUGCUUACCAGACUAGUCACACACAUUCUCUCUCCUUUACUCUCCCUCCCUCUGACACACACAACUGAAAGGUUACACAUACAGCGUUCACACUAAACUACGAUAAUUCUAUAAGAUAAAAUGUUGUGGUUAGGGGCAAUAUGUGUUAACAAGUAGUGUCAAAAAUAGUUCUCUCUCUCUCAGUGCCAACUCCUCCUUCGCUAACAAUGAUCUCCUGUAGCUCCCCCUUCCCCACACUACCCACUCCUUAGGCUCUCUUCAUCUAUGCCCAGAAUGCUUUACUCAGACACCACUGAACACAUGCACACACAAACCUCUGUCAGACACACACACACACACACAAACACACACCUCCAUCAGACACACACACACAAACACACACCUCCAUCAGACACACACACACAAACACACACCUCCAUCAGACACACACACACAAACACACACCUCCAUCAGACACACACAUACAAACACACACCUCCAUCAGACACACA